UACGUAGGGGGGCUAGCGUUGUCCGGAUUUAUUGGGCGUAAAGAGCGUGUAGGCGGCCAAGUAGGUCCGGUGUGAAAACUCGAGGCUUAACCUCGAGAUGUCAUCGGAAACCAUUUGGCUAGAGUCCGGAAGAGGAAAGUGGAAUUCCUGGUGUAGCGGUGAAAUGCGCAGAUAUCAGGAAGAACACCAAUGGCGAAAGCAGCUUCUG
rnacentral:rRNA from 1 species